rnacentral:lncRNA from 1 species
AAAGUGCUGUAAUAGUUAACCAUCAUAAUGACUUGGUGCCCAUGCUUGCAAAACUCCCAUCUGAGUUGUAUCUCUUGAGCAUCUAAACCUAGUUCAAGCCUUCACAGUUGAAAAAUAGUUAUUUUUUUAAUAUUCAUAGGUUGUAUUAUUUAUGGUGCAAUAAUGGGCAGUAUUAUAGAUUAAGAAGAGUAAAGUUAGGAGAGUAGCCCUGCCACCAAUGAGCUGUAUAAACCUGGACA